rnacentral:sRNA from 1 species
UCUCAAAACUUAUAUAACCCCCUUUGUGAACCGUAAGAACCCUAAUCCUUUGGGGGUGUUACCGUUUCGGGAGCGCCUCCAAGGGGGGCCUGUCUGCUCCUCGUGGGCGGAUGGGUCCUUCAAACUUAACCCCUUUAUUGAAAACCCUUUAGUGUCGUGAAGUGAAAAGCGAAAACAUCUAUGAGGAAAAACAACUUUUAACAAUGGAUCUCUUGCGUGCGUCGCCUACAGCCGAAUGGAAUGAAAGAACGCAGCGAAAUGCGAUAGUGUAAUGUGAAUUGCAGAAUUCCGUGAAUCAUCAAAUCUUUGGACGCAAAUUGCACUUCAGUGGCAUUCCCUGGAGUACGCCUGGCUGAGUAUCAUGAAAUUUCUUACUCCCCAUCCCCCUCUUUUGGGUAGUGGGAGUAGAUAAUGAGGGUCCUUCUUCCUGUCUGGAACGGGGGGAAUGUCCCUUAAAAGGCACCUGGGAAAAAGCAGAGACUACUCCGUGAAAUCCCUGCCGAUGUGUUAAGGAUGUGGCUAGUUCAGCUACGGACUCUCAUCGGUUUUUAUGGUUU